GAACAAUGACAAUUUGAGUAUUUGUAAGAAAUUAUGUUCAAUAUUUGUGGAAAUUUAGUCGGCAUCAAAUUCUUAAGAAAUUCUGAAACUGUUAGGGGAAAAACUCUCUAAAAAAUUUAUUUCAUUGAACAAACGUUAUUGAGGUUCUACUGUAUACGUCUAACUUAGUUUUGAGUACACAUCAACGAGUAAGACUGCUUCUCUGUCUAAGAUGGAAGUCAGAUAUGUCAACACUUCAGGACAAUAAAAUAUUUCACACUCUGUGGAAAAAACAGAUUAUGCCAGUGAGGAGAGAAAGAAAAAAACAGAAAGAAGAUUUGCAGC
rnacentral:lncRNA from 1 species